rnacentral:rRNA from 1 species
UACGUAGGGUGCAAGCGUUGUCCGGAUUUAUUGGGCGUAAAGAGCGUGUAGGCGGCCAGACAGGUCCGUUGUGAAAACUCGAGGCUCAACCUCGAGACGUCGAUGGAAACCGUCUGGCUAGAGUCCGGAAGAGGAGAGUGGAAUUCCUGGUGUAGCGGUGAAAUGCGCAGAUAUCAGGAAGAACACCUAUGGCGAAGGCAGCUCUCUGGGACGGUACUGACGCUGAGACGCGAAAGCGUGGGGAGCGAACAGG